rnacentral:tRNA from 1 species
UGGGGUAUAGCUCAGUGGUAGAGUGUCUGCUUAGCAAGCACAAGGUCCUGGGUUCAAUCUCUGGUACCUCCA